AUUGCCUCAGUAACGGCGAGUGAAGUGGCAACAGCUCAAAUUUGAAAUCUGGCCUCAGGCCCGAGUUGUAAUUUAUAGAGGAUGCUUUUGGUUAGGUGCCUUCCGAGUUUCCUGGAAUGGGACGCCAUAGAGGGUGAGAGCCCCGUCUGGUUGGAUGCCGAGCCUCUGUAAAGCUCCCUCGACGAGUCGAGUAGUUUGGGAAUGCUGCUCAAAAUGGGAGGUAUAUGUCUUCUAAAGCUAAAUACCGGGCAGAGACCGAUAGCGCACAAGUAGAGUGAUCGAAAGAUGAAAAGCACUUUGAAAAGAGAGUUAAAUAGCACGUGAAAUUGUUAAAAGGGAAGCGUUUGUGACCAGACUUGCGCCGACUGAUCAACCAGCGUUCUCGCUGGUGCACUCUGUCGGCUCAGGCCAGCAUCGGUUCGCCCCGGGGGAUAAAAGCUGGGGGAAUGUGGCUCCUCGGAGUGUUAUAGCCCCCAGCACAAUACCCUGAGGCGGACCGAGGUUCGCGCAUCGCAAGGAUGCUGGCGUAAUGGUCAUCAACGACCCGUCUUGAAACACGGACCAAGGAGUCGUCUUCGUAUGCGAGUGUUCGGGUGUCAAACCCCUACGCGUAAUGAAAGUGAACGUAGGUGAGAGCUUCGGCGCAUCAUCGACCGAUCCUGAUGUUCUCGGAUGGAUUUGAGUAAGAGCAUACGGGGCCGGACCCGAAAGAAGGUGAACUAUGCUUGUAUAGGGUGAAGCCUGGGGAAACCCCGGUGGAGGCUCGCAGCGGUUCUGACGUGCAAAUCGAUCGUCAAAUAUGAGCAUGGGGGCGAAAGACUAAU
rnacentral:rRNA from 1 species